rnacentral:rRNA from 1 species
UGGGAGGUAAAUUUCUCCUAAGGCUAAAUAUCGGCGAGAGACCGAUAGCAAACAAGUACCGUGAGGGAAAGAUGAAAAGUACUUUGAAAAGAGAGUAAAAUAGUACGUGAAAUUGUUGAAAGGGAAACGAUUGAAGUCAGUCGUACCAACGAGAAAUCAGCUUAUCGUGUGCGAACUUGUUGGCGUGCGUGAGUUUCGGCCUCGCUGUUUGCAUGUUUGUGCGUUUUGGGUGUACUUUUUCGUAUGGUAGGCCAACGUCAGUUUCGAUUAUCAUAAAAUGACCGGCAGAAUGUAGCUUCGAUUUCGGUUGAAGUGUUAUAGCCUCUGGUAGAUGUGGUGAUCGGGACUGAGGAUUGCAACGAAUACCUUUGGGCUAUCCGUCUGACCUCUGAAAGUUGCUCAGGUGCCGAAAGCUUGCUUACGGUCAUUUAAGUUGACGUUCAACAGGCUAGAACGUGAUUACAUUCGUUAAGGACGUUGGCGUAAUGGCUUUAAACAACCCGUCUUGAAACACGGACCAAGGAGUCUAACAUAUAUGCGAGUGUUUGGUGUUCAAACCCCUACGCGUAAUGAAAGUAAUUUUGGUGGGAUCACUUUUGUGUGCACCAUCGACC